rnacentral:rRNA from 1 species
AAUAGAUACCCGGGUAGUCCACGCCCUAAACGAUGCUCACUAGGUGUUGGGGAAGCGAUUCCUUGGUACCGUAGCUAACGCGUGAAGUGAGCCGCCUGGGGAGUACGGCCGCAAGGUUAAAACUCAAAGGAAUUGACGGGGACCCGCACAAGCGGUGGAUGAUGUGGAUUAAUUCGAUGCAACGCGAACAACCUUACCUACCCUUGACAUGUCCGGAAGCCUGCUGAAAGGUGGGUGUGCUCGAAAGAGAACCGGAACACAGGUGCUGCAUGGCUGUCGUCAGCUCGUGUCGUGAGAUGUUGGGUUAAGUCCCGCAACGAGCGCAACCCUUGUCCCUAGUUGCUACGCAAGGGCACUCUAGGGAGACUGCCGGUGACAAACCGGAGGAAGGUGGGGAUGACGUCAAGUCCUCAUGGCCCUUACGGGUUAGGGCUUCACACGUCAUACAAUGGACGGUACAGAGGGUUGCCAACCCGCGAGGGGGAGCCAAUCCCAGAAAGCCGUUCGUAGUCCGGAUCGCAGUCUGCAACUCGACUGCGUGAAGUCGG